rnacentral:misc_RNA from 1 species
UUACACGUGUAUGAGUGUGUCACGACUGUUUAGCUACAUUGCAAACGUUAGCCUGCGGAUAUCGUUUCUAUCAUCUGUCACGUUAAUUCCAUUCCGACUCUCGUCAAAUAAAGUCUAUCGCGUAGAUAAACGGUGAUCCAUUUUUUUACGCCAUGCUUUACUCUUAUAGUAGCAGACCGCAAGUAACGAACAUGAAUGGAAAAAGGCCUUGCCCGCAGCCUGUCAGGAGCCAUAGGCCCCAGCAGCCACAGCCAAUGGAGACAAAUCAAUCGAAUCCCCAAAAUCAACACAAUCAGCAACACCAUCAUCAACAAAAUCAGCAUCAACAGCACCAACACCAGCAACACCAACACCAACAAAAUCAACAUCAACAAGAACCGGAUCCAAAUUCACAACACUUUGAUUUGAUCAAAUACAUCUGCGAAUCUUGGAACUCUGUCCAUAAAGAGUUACACAGUUAUUCACAUGGAAACUCUUCUAAUAAUUAUAGACACCAGAGUAACGUGACGUAUUAUCAAGAACGUGAACCAAAUCCACUUAUGAAAGAACACGACCGAUACUUUUGAAAGAAUGAUUUCUAGAAAUUUCAAGAAACAAGUUUGAAGAUUUCCAUUUUUAAUCGACUUUAAAGCGUUUAACUUGGAUACAUUAUUCAAUCAAAAAGGAACACAGGGUACCCAAAGAAAUAAGAGUUCAUAGUCGUGGAUUUUAAC